UGGCAUUGGGAAUGGAUGAAAACAGGACACAAAAGUGGGCCUACUAUAUACCAGUGACAGAAACUCUAAAGAACUUUUUACAGUCACAUUUAGGGAGGAAUGUACAGUCACAACAGUUUGGAGAUCCUGAUGGAGAGGUUUUUAGGGAUUUAUAUGAUGGACAAAAUUUCAAAUUUCACCAGUUCUUUAAUGAAAACCCUAAGAGCCUCAAACUGAUUUUGUACCAAGAUUCAUUUGAAAUUGUGAAUCCCCUUGGUUCUGCUAAAAAGACACACAAAGUUCUUGCAGUCUAUCUUUCAUUAGCAAAUUUACCCAUUCAUUUGCGUUCAAAUACUGACAAUAUGUUUUUAGUCUUGUUGUGUGUCGAGAGUGAUCUUAAGCGUUUUGGAAUAGACAAGGUUUUUUCAGAGUUGUUGGCAGAUUUGAAAUCCUUGGAGACAGAUGGAAUAAAUGUAGAUGGAGAAACCGUAAAAGGUGGUCUUUACUGCAUUGCUGGGGAUAACUUGGGUUCUCAUUGCUUAGGUGGGUUUACCGAGAAUUUCAGCUGCUCUCAAUAUUUUUGCAGGUACUGUGAAAUCAGAAGAACUGAGUUUGAGGCUGAUCCAAAUGCCUGUGGUCCUCCACGCACCCCAGAGAGAUAUGACGUGGCUGUUGCUGAUCUCCAGGCUGAAAACCUCCAAGACAUCAGAGGAAUAAAGGUAAACUCUGUCUUUAAUACCCUUCAGUCUUUUCACGUUUCCCAGCCUGGUCUCCCGCCUUGCUUAGGUCAUGACAUUUUUGAAGGAGUCUUGUCAUAUGAUUUAGCACUGUACUUGAAGAACAUUAUAAAAAAGAAAAAAUGGUUCACAUACUCACUCUUAAACAGGCGCAUCAAACAGUUUAAGUACAAAGGAUCUGAAGCACAGACAAAGCCAUGUGCUGUGAACCCUGACAAAGCCAAGUUAUCAGGGCAAGCCAUUCAAAACUGGAACCUUUUGAGAUUGCUACCAGUUUUGAUUGGUGACAAAGUGCAAAACCAUGAGGAUGAAGUAUGGCAGUUAGCUCUCCAGCUAAAAGACAUUGCGGAUCUUAUUUGUGCUCAUAACAUUUCCUUGCCCCAGAUAGCAUAUCUUGACUUUUUGAUCCAGGAAUAUUUGGAGUUGAGAAAGACGUUGUUUCCUGAAAAUCAACUAAAACCCAAGCACCACUAUUUGCGCCAUUAUUCAGCACUAAUCUUGAAAUUUGGUCCAUUGAUUAGGUUAUGGACGCUUAGGUUUGAGAGCAAGCACAGUUAUUUUAAAAGAUGUGCCAGACACCUGAAAAACUUCAAAAACAUUUGUCACUCUGUCAGAGCGUCAUCAGAUGUAUCAGGCAUAUCUUUUAGCUGGGCAAGAAUGCAGUAAACUACUGCAAGUGAAGGACAGCUUUGCCUUUUAUCCCAACCUCUACAGUGACACUAUUAAACAUGCAGUCAGGGGGUUAGCCUUUUCACAAAGCAAUACCACAGUUACCACAGGCAUUCAGUACAAGGGCACUGCAUAUAAAAAAGGGCAGUUUCUUGUGUACAGAAAUGAUGAGUAUUUGGAGUUUGGUGAACUUCUACUCAUCUUGAUUCAAAAUGACACAUCUGUGUAUGUUUUGAUGGAUAUCCACAAAGGUGUCUUCCUCUCAAAAUACCAUCUGUACUCUGUGACAAAGGACAGUCUUGGGUUACAGUGUAUCAACAUUAAUGACCUGCCCGAUUUCUAUCCUUUGGUAUCAAACAUUCUUGAUGGAUACCAAGUCAUACCACUAAAGCACAGUAUUGUGGAAAAAUAAAAACCAAAUGAAGCUCACUUGGUUCUCACUGCAAAUAGUUUGACAUUAAUGCAAGUGUUGGCUGAUGCAUCUCCCUGCUCUGUUAAGUGUAUGUACUGUAUAUUUUUUCUGUUCUGUUUGAAGGUGACAUUUCUUCUUCAAGGCAAAUAUGAGUGACUUGGAGCAAACCUUCCUAGAUGUUGCCAUCAUGGAAGUCCUACCAGAACUUGAAGAAGUAAACAAAAAUAUCCUGGAAGAGCACUUGCAGUCCAUUGGAGUUGAGACGUAUGAUGAUCUACGCUUCGUAACAGAGGCUGAUUUGAUGACAGCAUUAAGACCUAUACAAGCCAGAAAGCUUCUUUCCGUUUGGAAACAGAAAUGUAAGUACAAACAACACACAACUAUUUAAAAUCAAAAGCAGACAUGGACAUUGUGUAAUAUUGUGCUUUGAAUCAUUAUCUUCUUUUUUUUUUUUUUGCCAUUUAAAGACAAACUCCAGAGAACAGCUCACUAUCAUCUGUGGAAGCCUCACCUAUCCAGUCGCUGUCAUCGCAGUCUGUUUCACCCCAAAGUUCAUCAUCAACCUCCUCCAGGAGCCCAACACUUGACACACAGUGGGAAGAAAACUUUGAAAUUCCAUGGAGUAAAUUUCCUGAGGAAGUGAUGCAGUCUUUGGAGAGGGGAAAAAGGCCAGGCUCAAAACUGAGGCGGCAAAUGGUCCGUAUUGUUGUAACUGAGAUGAUGGAAAAAUGCCCUCAUGUAGGUAAAAAGCAUUCAACUGAUGUUGCAAAAAAAAUGGUGGCAAAAUAUCCCAAAUCUCUGAAAGAUGUAAUAGAGGGCGAUGUUGUUGGAGCAGGUUACCACUCCCUCGUAAAACAAUUGCAAAACAGAAUUGAAAAUGUGAGGCGCUCUUCGACCCCCAAAAUAAGAAAAAGAAAACAUCAGGAUGACUCAGACCACACAGACGAGAUCCCGUUAGAAGAGAGAGCAGCAAUGCAGGACACUUACGGCUGCAUCAGAUGGAAUGUGAAAUUUCUGCCACUUCAAGAAACUCAACAAAGCCAGCAGCAAAAGAUGGAAAAACUCAAGAUGAUGUUCCAAAAUUCUGACGCCAAUCCAGAGGAGGUAAAAUGUCUAAUGAAGUCCACUUUUUACACACAGCGUCAGCAUAUCAAUCAGGGAAAAAGUAUCAAAUGCCUUAGAGAGGAGUGGCCCUUUUUGUUUGAUGAACUUGGCAUGUCAGUACACUUCAUGGAACUCACUGGGAUUGACCUCAAAGAGAUAUUCACACGAAAUUUGGAUUUGAAGGGAAAAAGGCUUCACGACUACUUGACCACAGUUUGUGUCAACAAGAGCAAGAAGUUCCUUCAGAAUUAUGCAAGGCUUCAGAGGAUGCGGGGACCACAGAGUGGCUGCUCAGAUGAUGUGAUAGAGAUGGUCCUGCUACUGCUCAGCUACUUUGAUGAGAAGGAGGAGUUCAUGUUCUUCCAUGUCGAAGAUACGUGUCUGGCAGAGGAGGUCCAACUGGAGCAAGUGCCUCUGACACCCGCUGUUAUUGUCUGUGGACAGUCCUGCUAUUCCUCAACAAGGUAUAUGCUGUGUCUGGAUCGAAACCUUACCAACACAAACAUCUCCUCCUUCAUCCCUGCAUUGUGCCUCAUGUUCGGGAGCUACUACUGUUUGAAUAUCCACUAUCCAUCUGAGCUGGCUUCAACUCUGGAGUUUCUUCAACGGUGAGUAAACAUGGCUUGCUCAUUUCUCUGACCUGGGACUCUGGGCCCUGGAGUCUGGCUCUGAGUUCCUGGUCGUAACCCUUUGGUGUAGGUCCAUUCAAAUAUCGUUCCUCCAGGACGAAGGCUUUGUAGUUAUGAGAUAACCAAAUGAAAUAUGCCUUUUACAUUCAUCACUAAACCCUAUCCAAUCAAAAUCCAAAGUCUGCAAAGGUUUGUUUACAUGAUUGGUUGUUUUUACCUGUUAAUACUACUGAGUAGCGCCCAUUUUUUCAGCGCCAACUUUUCACAUUGACCUUCAUGGCGUCGCAUAGCUCACAGUAAUGGAAAAAAGUACUAACAGUGAGACAAACAGUCUUCCCAGAACAAAAGACUUGCAAGAAGAAAAUGCUUAAUAUGCUUUUAUUCUACAGGUGCCUUUUCUCGAUAAAUUCAGAAAAAGGAACCAAAGUAGAGAAUAAAAACAACAAGCGUCCUUUCAGCGUGAACCCAUGAGUCCUCACCCUGAUACAGGAACUUGCCGAUCACGAGUGGCGUUGAGCCUAAAUGUGGACUCUUCAGUAGGAAGUUCAGUAGGUUAAAUAAAACAAAAAAAACAUUUAAUGUUCUUUACAUGUUGUAUAUGUUACAAAAAAAACUACUGUAUACUGUUGAACAUUCCAGACAAGAAAUGUCAGUUGUUGUUCAGUGUUUCAACCUGUAUUCAGUCAAAACAUCCAUUACUUGUUCCUUCUUUGCAUGUUGUAUAUGUUAAAAAAAACCCUACUGUAUACUGUUGAACAUUACAGACAAGAAAUGUCAGUUGUUGUUGUUCAGUGUUUCAACCUGUAUUCAGUAAAACAUCCAUUACAUGUUCCUUCUUUGCAUGUUGUAUUAAAAAGAAGAAAAAUCAUCCAAUUGAAACUAUUGAUGAUGGCUGUUAAAUAAAUAUUCCAAAAGUGG